CGAACUGUCCUAACGUUGUUCGGAAUCACUGGGCUUAAAGGGCGCGUAGGCGGUCCGACAAGUCAGGGGUGAAAUCCUGCAGCUUAACUGCAGAAGUGCCUUUGAUACUGUCGGUCUUGAGGGAGAUAGGGGUGUGCGGAACUUCCAGUGGAGCGGUGAAAUGCGUUGAUAUUGGAAGGAACGCCGGAGGCGAAAGCGGCGCACUGGAUCUCUUCUGACGCUGAGGCGCGAAAGCUAGGGGAGCAAACGGGAUUAGAUACCCCGGUAGUCCUAGCCCUAAACGAUGAGUACUAGAUUGUAGACUUUCAUGGGUUUACAGUCGAAGCAAAAGUGUUAAGUACUCCGCCUGGGGAGUAUGGUCGCAAGGCUG
rnacentral:rRNA from 1 species